AGGAUGAACGCUGGCGGCGUGCCUAAUACAUGCAAGUCGAGCGGUAAGGCCACUUCGGUGGUACACGAGCGGCGGACGGCUGAGUAACACGUAGGAACGUACCCCAAAGUGAGGCAUAAGCACCAGAAAUGGUGUCUAAUACCGCAUGUGAUCUUAGGAUUAAAGCUUCGGCGCUUUGGGAACGGCCUGCGCAUGAUUAGCUUGUUGGUGAGGUAAUAGCUCACCAAGGCGACGAUCAUUAGCUGGUCUGAGAGGAUGACCAGCCAGACUGGGACUGAGAACGGCCCAGACUCCUACGGGAGGCAGCAGUAGGGAAUUUUCCGCAAUGGGCGAAAGCCUGACGGAGCAAUGCCGCGUGGAGGUAGAAGGCCACGGGUCGUAAACUCCUUUCUCAGAGAAGAAGCAAUGACGGUAUCUGAGGAAUAAGCAUCGGCUAACUCUGUGCCAGCAGCCGCGU
rnacentral:rRNA from 1 species